GUACUUACUUCAGCAACACAAAUGCUAAGAUUGGAACAAUACAGAGAAAAUUAGCAUGAUCUCUGCACAAGAAGGGAAAAAAAAAGAGUAUGUAACAUGAAU